UUUUAUGUCGCACCACCCAGCGCGGGAACUCCGUCGUGCAGAUAAAGUUUUUCCUCAGGAUUCCACCGAAGAAACGUCAAGAACAGCGACGGUGUCAUGUCUUGCUGGAGGAAAGACACACCUGGGUCGUCGAGGUCCGUCGACAGGCUCGGUGACGUGUCGAAGGCUGCGAUAUUGAGACAAAUAGUCACCGAGAAACUGAGCUCAGGAGCCCAGGAGAUACUGGCGGUGGUGGAGCGAACCAUAGUCGGCUACGAGGAGGACGCUCUGGGCUACAGACGAGAACUGGAGAGACAGAAGAGGCUGCUGGAGUGUCUGCUGCAGCCUCGGGUCAAGCUGGAGCGAAACGGUUUGUACAGCCGUGUGAGUGGAGUGAAGUAGCAUAGUUCACAGCCAAGGUGGAGUUGCCCAUGUUUGGGGUAGUUGUAGUUUGUUUCACCGUGCGAGUUUGUUUGCAGAGCUUCGUGCAGCGGCGGCUCGAGGGGGGUCAGCAGGGCCACGCACAACCGCUGGAAUUUCUCUGUUUCCCGGGAGAAAGCCUCUCUGCGUAUGUUCAGGAGGAAGACCUGGGUUUCAUCUGGUAUGGAGAUGAUUCCUCACCGUUUGAUGAAGACACCCUGGCACCUGAAAAUUUGAGCGCGAGACAGAAACAAGAAGACCCGAAGGAUCCAGAUUUUGAAAUCUCAGAAAGUUGCAGGACUUCGACCCCAAAAGUUCCGUCUGAGAGAAGAGUGACCAAACCUUGGUUCAGGGAAGAGAAAGACCAUAUCUUCCUGAGGGUCCGUGUCCUGGACGACACUUUGACUGCUUUACCGAAAAACGACCCGAUGCAGCUGUGGUGCCCAACUGGCCUGCAAGAGAUGGACUUCCUGCGGAUGCUGCACUCCACCAUCCCUCAGCUGACUGACAACCAGGCAUGUACAUGUACAUAGCAGACCGCAACAGAAACAAGAGAGUGACCUCCAUGAUCCCGGAGGAAAUCAAAAGGAGCAUGUCCUCGGUGAACAACCCGACACUCUACAUUCGUCUCAAGUGAGCGAGAGCGGCCCUUCCUGUGCCACAUCUGCCCCAAGGCCUUCAUGGAAAACUGCAGCCUGAAAUCCCACCUGAAGAUCCACAGCGAGGAGCGGCCGUUCACCUGCCCGGUCUGCAGCCGAGGCUUCAUCUCUCUCGCUUCAGCUGCUCAGUGUGCGGGAUGGGCUUCAAACGCAAGGGGAACCUCAACGCGCACAUGGGGAUACACACGAAGGACCGGCGCUUUGUGUGCGGCAUGAAAAUGCACCUCACCAUUCACAUGAGGACACACAACGCAGAGCGGCCGUACAAAUGCAAGCUGUGCCACAAAACCUUCACACAGAGUCACUGCCUGAAGAUGCACAGUGUUGCUCCGGUCGCCGUCGACUCUGGAAACCCUUCGUCACAUGGACAGGGCUCGUCUGUGUGAAGGUCUCUGCACCUCCCACAUACACAACACUCAAGCCUGAGCCAAUGAACCAAUCAGAAGCGAGGUUUAAACUGGACUUGUGAUCUUCAAUUGGAAGUGAGUCGUGACUGCUGAUCCCUGCUUUUAGUUGUUAGGCCGAGUGAAAGAUGUGCAGCAUCCUGUCAACGGGGUGCGCAGUGUGUUUCAUGAACCAUCACGUUUGGUCAUAAGAGCCCUUCAUGAGAACACUUGGACCAAAGUUUAGGUGAGUAACACUCCAGCUGUUGAGAUUAUGUUACACACUGAGAAAAUGCUUGAGAUUGUUUUAGUGUUUCCCCAAUUGUUGUCUUCUUUUUGGUUUUUUUUCUGACAACCGGUGACACUGGUGAAGUCCUGCAGUUGAUAUGUAGAAACAGAAGAGCUUUUUUUUGCAGAUCUUGAGCGCCCCCUGUAGGUCGCACACAGAUCGCAGGUUGAAUGUAUUCAAGACACCCAAAUCACCAUGGACUCAGGCUUUCUAUCGCUCACACAGCAGAACCUCACUUCGAAAAUUUGUUUUGUUUGAAUUUUUUUGUUGUUGUAUGAGCCACUAAAUGGUCUUAACUUAGGGCACAAAACACUUUCACUACUGUGGGCUUCGUCUUAGAGCGCUUCCCAGAACAGAAGUGCACAUUUAAGCACACGGACCUCAAGUGGUCUUUUGCUGGUAGGUUAGAUUCUGUUGGAAUUAAAGUACACACUGUAACAUUUCACUCUUCACUUCUCCUUCUUGGCUUCACAUCGAAGUCUUCCCCCAGCCAACUCCAAAAAGCGUUUUCAUUCACAGUGUCUGAUCGUAUUUUUAAAAACUUGGAGACAAAAGUCCGUCAGCACAGCUUUCUUGCCUUCUUGUGGUCACAUGGUAAUAAAUAAUUCCACAGUCAAAAUCCAAAAUAACCUUUCAAGUACGAAGAUGGAGUUUCAGAGAAUAAAUAGCUUUGUGUUGUGCUGGAAUCCUUCAAGGCAGCUCCAGCAUCCCAUGCUCCUCCAGGACUCUCUGGGUUCUGGCGUGCACCAGCGUCAG